UUAAAAGUAAGUCUCUGCCACUCCUGGCAUCACAAGCCACAAGACUGCUCCUGCAUUUCUUUCAGAGUUAUUCCUUCACUCAUUCAGAGGAUGAGGGGCCCCAUUGUCUUCCUUACUCUGGCUCUGGUCAUCAUGUCCAUGACUGAACCUGCAGAGGGCUGGGCGCAUCGUGUCAUUAAGGGACUUCAUGGAUUUGCACAUGGGUUUCUCGGCAAAGCUGAUGAUCAGCAGAACAUGCAGGAGGUGUUGGUGGAAAAACGCUCACCGGACGACUACCAAGCGCCAGACAACACCAAGUGAUCGAUGUUACUUCUGUACUUCAUUACUCAAAUCUAAUCUCAUCAAUCAAGUCUAAAGACGUCAAUAAAGAGCAUUUACAAAAGGCAUUACAAAA